GGACAGCGGCUAUAACUCGGUCAUUUCUGGACAGAUCGACCUGAUAUUGAUAUCACACACUCAGGGGUCUCAACUGAGUCAGCCUAUCAAGUUUCAGCCC